AACGACUCUCGGCAACGGAUAUCUUGACUCUUGCAUCGAUGAAGAAUGUAUUGAAAUGCGAUACUUGGAGUGAAUUGCAGAAUCCCGUGAACCAUCGAGUCUUUGAACAUAAGUUGUGCCCGAAGCUGUCAAACGCCGAGGGCACGUCUGGCUGGGUGUCACGCAACG
rnacentral:rRNA from 1 species